rnacentral:rRNA from 1 species
ACCGGCUAACUCCGUGCCAGCAGCCGCGGUAAUACGGAGGGUGCGAGCGUUAAUCGGAAUUACUGGGCGUAAAGCGCAUGCAGGCGGCCUGUUAAGUCAGAUGUGAAAGCCCCGGGGCUUAAACCCUCGGAAUUGCAUUUUGAAACUGGCAGGCUAGAGUCUUGUAGAGGGGGUAGAAUUUCAGGUGUAGCGGUGAAAUGCGUAGAGAUCUGAAGGAAUACCAGUGGCGAAGGCGGCCCCCUGGACAAAGACUGACGCUCAGAUGCGAAAGCGUGGGGAGCAAACAGGAUUAGAUACCCUGGUAG